rnacentral:rRNA from 1 species
GAUGAACGCUGGCGGCGUGCCUAAUACAUGCAAGUCGAGCGAACGGACGAGAAGCUUGCUGUUCUGAUGUUAGCGGCGGACGGGUGAGUAACACGUGGAUAACCUACCUAUAAGACUGGGAUAACUUCGGGAAACCGGAGCUAAUACCGGAUAAUAUUUUGAACCGCAUGGUUCAAAAGUGAAAGAUGGUCUUGCUGUCACUUAUAGAUGGAUCCGCGCUGCAUUAGCUAGUUGGUAAGGUAACGGCUUACCAAGGCAACGAUGCAUAGCCGACCUGAGAGGGUGAUCGGCCACACUGGAACUGAGACACGGUCCAGACUCCUACGGGAGGCAGCAGUAGGGAAUCUUCCGCAAUGGGCGAAAGCCUGACGGAGCAACGCCGCGUGAGUGAUGAAGGUCUUCGGAUCGUAAAACUCUGUUAUUAGGGAAGAACAUAUGUGUAAGUAACUGUGCACAUCUUGACGGUACCUAAUCAGAAAGCCACGGCUAACUACGUG